CUGCACGAGGCUUGACGGGUACGGGGCAUUAGGGUUCGAUUCCGGAGAGGGAGCCUGAGAAACGGCUACCACAUCUAAGGAAGGCAGCAGGCGCGCAAAUUACCCAAUCCUAAUACAGGGAGGUAGUGACAAGAAAUAACAAUACAGAACCUUACGGUUUUGUAAUUGGAAUGAGUUAAGUAUAAACCCCUUAACAAGUAUCAAUUGGAGGGCAAGUCUGGUGCCAGCAGCCGCGGUAAUUCCAGCUCCAAUAGCGUAUAUUAAAGUUGUUGCAGUUAAAAAGCUCGUAGUUAAUCUUCUGUUAAUUUUUAUAUAUAAUAUCACGAUAUUUAUAUAAUAUUAACAUAAUUCAUAUUACUUUUUAGUAUAUGAAACUUUACUUUGAGAAAAUUAGAGUGCUUAAAGCAGGCUAUUGCCUUGAAUACUCCAGCAUGGAAUAAUAUUAAGGAUUUUUAUUCUUCUUAUUGGUUCUAGAAUAAAAAUGAUGAUUAAUAGGGACAGUUGGGGGCAUUUGUAUUUAACAGUCAGAGGAAA
rnacentral:rRNA from 1 species